rnacentral:lncRNA from 1 species
AUGUCCUUUCAAUUCUCGUUCAUAGUUCAGCUGAUCGUCGUCCUUGAGACGCGACAAGGACGUCAAGCAUCCUUCAGCAAAUCGUUGCCAAGUCGUCGUGCCAAAUGCCGUUUAAACCGGAUUUGCCCGCAUUGCUUCAUCACGUUCUUUCUUAAAGCAGUACGACAUCUUGGGUGCAACGGAAACGAGAAACCAGUUUCUCGUAGCACCAGCAGUCUUUCCUGUCCAAAAUGCAAACUAGGUUUCACUGCCCGCAGACAAAUCAGUUCAAUGAAUUCCUUUAACACGUCUUGGUAGGGUGAUUCAUUUGGCAGAAAGAGCAUCAUCUUACCCUCGAGAUAAAUCCACACAAGGUGCCUUAGGAAGCGCAGGAGGAGGUCUCGUAUAAGGAAAUCGUUCUGGCUCUCCCGCCAAACAUAAUGAAUAUCGCCUUGCUUUCGGUCAGGCGGUGGCUGGGACUUAAUUGACAGGGGUGCCUGAGCGUCUCCGCAGAGAGGCCAGGGUCACUACAGACAGAAGCUGAAAGUCGUUCACUGCUCUCCUAGUGAGGAGGAGGGCCCGCGCAGGGUGCAGGGACCCAGGGAAGCCGCAGGUUUUUAAAGCGCUGUGGAAGUUUGAGGGGGGCGUGUCGAAGCCUGAGCUGACAUCUGGUGGUUUGGGGAAAAAAGUUCUGCAGGAAGGGGCAGAGGUGUGGGCCAAGCCAGCUGCUGCAUAUCCCUUUUUGAAUAAGCCGAGCGUGUUGGAGCUCUGGAGGUGGUCUCUGAGAAGCCGGGGACCGGGACCGUGGGCACAUGGGCUACGUGUGUGUGAGAAUCAAAUCUGGACGCACUCGUGUCUCGAGAGGGCUGAAAAGCUUGCUAGGGGUAGUGUCAUUGCACCCGAAUCCUUGGGCACGUUGUGGCCAUCAGAAGCCGUGCAGGGACUCCAGAUGGCGGGAGACACCGUUCCCGAAGCUCCUUGAGUGCAGGCGUCUCUGAGGGCGCUGACGGGACUGUCUGUUGACUCUGAUGUGGAAGGGAGAUGUGUACGUGAGCACUGUGUUGCUUCAGAACCCCAGGAAAGGACCAGAAGGCGUGAGACGUCUGUGUCCUUCGCACAUGAAACGUGCUUCCACUGCAUCUCCUUGAAGGCGGAUGUCAUCCUGAAACCUCACGCUGCUGUCGGAAGAAGUGUGGUGGGUGCGGCUGCUCCGCUCUCAAACAAGCAGACCGGCCAGGUUGGCGGAAAGAAGGAAAG